UACAGAGGGGGCAAGCGUUGUUCGGAAUUACUGGGCGUAAAGGCGCGUAGGCGCCUUCUAAGUCGAACGUGAAAUCCCCGGGCUCAACCCGGGAACUGCGUCCGAUACUGGAAGGCUUGAAUCCGGAGAGGGAUGCGGAAUUCCAGGUGUAGCGGUGAGAUGCGUAGAUAUCUGGAGGAACACCGUGGCGAAGGCGGCAUCCUGGACCGGCAUUGACGCUGAGCGCGAAGCCAGGGAGCAACGG
rnacentral:rRNA from 1 species